GGGUUGUGAGGUUAAGCGACUAAGCGUACACGGUGGAUGCCCUGGCAGUCAGAGGCGAUGAAGGACGUGCUAAUCUGCGAUAAGCGUCGGUGAGGUGAUAUGAACCGUUAUAACCGGCGAUUUCCGAAUGGGGAAACCCAGUGUGUUUCGACACACUAUCAUUAACUGAAUCCAUAGGUUAAUGAGGCGAACCGGGGGAACUGAAACAUCUAAGUACCCCGAGGAAAAGAAAUCAACCGAGAUUCCCCCAGUAGCGGCGAGCGAACGGGGAGGAGCCCAGAGCCUGAAUCAGUGUGUGUGUUAGUGGAAGCGUCUGGAAAGGCGUGCGAUACAGGGUGACAGCCCCGUACACAAAAAUGCACAUAUUGUGAGCUCGAUGAGUAGGGCGGGACACGUGGUAUCCUGUCUGAAUAUGGGGGGACCAUCCUCCAAGGCUAAAUACUCCUGACUGACCGAUAGUGAACCAGUACCGUGAGGGAAAGGCGAAAAGAACCCCGGCGAGGGGAGUGAAAAAGAACCUGAAACCGUGUACGUACAAGCAGUGGGAGCCUCUUAAUGGGGUGACUGCGUACCUUUUGUAUAAUGGGUCAGCGACUUAUAUUCUGUAGCAAGGUUAACCGAAUAGGGGAGCCGAAGGGAAACCGAGUCUUAACUGGGCGUUAAGUUGCAGGGUAUAGACCCGAAACCCGGUGAUCUAGCCAUGGGCAGGUUGAAGGUUGGGUAACACUAACUGGAGGACCGAACCGACUAAUGUUGAAAAAUUAGCGGAUGACUUGUGGCUGGGGGUGAAAGGCCAAUCAAACCGGGAGAUAGCUGGUUCUCCCCGAAAGCUAUUUAGGUAGCGCCUCGUGAAUUCAUCUCCGGGGGUAGAGCACUGUUUCGGCAAGGGGGUCAUCCCGACUUACCAACCCGAUGCAAACUGCGAAUACCGGAGAAUGUUAUCACGGGAGACACACGGCGGGUGCUAACGUCCGUCGUGAAGAGGGAAACAACCCAGACCGCCAGCUAAGGUCCCAAAGUCAUGGUUAAGUGGGAAACGAUGUGGGAAGGCCCAGACAGCCAGGAUGUUGGCUUAGAAGCAGCCAUCAUUUAAAGAAAGCGUA
rnacentral:rRNA from 1 species